rnacentral:rRNA from 1 species
GAUGAACGCUGGCGGCGUGCCUAAUACAUGCGAGUCGAGCGAACUGAUUAGAAGCUUGCUUCUAUGACGUUAGCGGCGGACGGGUGAGUAACACGUGGGCAACCUGCCUGUAAGACUGGGAUAGCUUCGGGAAACCGAAGCUAAUACCGGAUAGGAUCUUCUCCUUCAUGGGAGAUGAUUGAAAGAUGGUUUCGGCUAUCACUUACAGAUGGGCCCGCGGUGCAUUAGCUAGUUGGUGAGGUAACGGCUCACCAAGGCAACGAUGCAUAGCCGACCUGAGAGGGUGAUCGGCCACACUGGGACUGAGACACGGCCCAGACUCCUACGGGAGGCAGCAGUAGGGAAUCUUCCGCAAUGGACGAAAGUCUGACGGAGCAACGCCGCGUGAGUGAUGAAGGCUUUCGGGUCGUAAAACUCUGUUGUUAGGGAAGAACAAGUACGAGAGUAACUGCUCGUACCUUGACGGUACCUAACCAGAAAGCCACGGCUAACUACGUGCCAGCCGCCGCAGUAAAAC